rnacentral:rRNA from 1 species
CUUUUUAUUAGUAAGUUUUACUGAAAUUAUUAAUUUUAGCUAUAGUUUAUUUUACUGUAAAGGAAUAAUUAAAUUUUGAUUUAAGUAGAUUUUUUUUAUUUUACCUUUUGUAUCAGGGUUUAUUAAUUUUUAUUAUUUAUUUUAAUUUUCCCGAAGUUAAGAGAGAUAUAUUUUAAUGUAAUUUUACGUUUUAAAGUAAUUUAGAAUUUAAGUAUAGAGGUUAGAUGCUAUUCAAUCUUAAAUAUCUGGUUUUCUGAUAAAUUAAUUUAAUUAAGGUUAUUAGUUAUUGGGUUAAUUUAUAAUUUAAUUUUAUUUAAUACUAAUUUCUAGAUUUGUGGGGGAUGAGCUCUUCAAAUUUGUUAUAACCAGGAUUUUAUUAAGUUUUUGUAGGCUUGAUAACAGCCAUCAUUUAUUUCGUUUUAGUUAAUUCUUAGUUUUAAUUUAUUUAUUUUUGGUUUAUUUUAUUAUUGGAGUCUUUUAUUUAAUUAUUUAUUAUAAAUAAUAAUGAUAAAAUUAGUAGUUUU